rnacentral:rRNA from 1 species
GACGAACGCUGGCGGCGUGCUUAACACAUGCAAGUCGAGCGGUAAGGCCCUUUCGGGGGUACACGAGCGGCGAACGGGUGAGUAACACGUGGGUGACCUGCCCUCAGCUCUGGGAUAAGCCUGGGAAACCGAGUCUAAUACUGGAUAUGACUCCAUGACGCAUGUUGUGGGGUGGAAAGCCUUGUGCGGCUGAGGAUGGGCCCGCGGCCUAUCAGCUUGUUGGUGGGGUGAUGGCCUACCAAGGCGACGACGGGUAGCCGGCCUGAGAGGGCGACCGGCCACACUGGGACUGAGACACGGCCCAGACUCCUACGGGAGGCAGCAGUGGGGAAUCUUGCGCAAUGGGCGAAAGCCUGACGCAGCGACGCCGCGUGAGGGAUGACGGCCUGG